GAGUUUGAUCCUGUAUCAAUUUCAACGCUACCCCGGCAAUUACGGGUGCUUGGUCUGAGAGGCGNCCAGCCAGAGGGGGCUUGAGACCCGGCCCCCACUCCUCCGGGAGGCAGCAGCAGGGAAUCUUGGGCAAUGGGCGCAAGCCUGACCCAGCGACGUCGCGUGGAGGAAGAAGGCUCUCGGGCUGUAAACUCCUUUUCCAGGGGAAGAGUAAGGACGGUACCUUGGGAAUAAGCUCCGGCUAACUACGUGCCAGCAGCCGCGGUAAUACGUAGGGAGCGAGCGUUACCCGGAAUUACUGGGCGUAAAGUGCGCGUAGGCGGCUUGGUAAGUCUCUUUUGAAAGCUCCCGGCUUAACUGGGAGAGGUGAGGGGAAACUACUUGGCUUGAGGGCAGUAGAGGA
rnacentral:rRNA from 1 species